rnacentral:misc_RNA from 1 species
CAACUCUCCACACAAAUCAAGACUAUGGAUUUUACAUGCAAGCCAUAAUGAUGGUAGAAAAAGUUCAUUUACACCACCAAUUUUAAGAUCAUAGACACUUUCGUAACUUUAUAGCUCCCAUCUGUGUUCAAAGUCACAAUUUAUUUCUUCCCUCGCAGCUUCACACCAAGAGCUCUCUCCAGUUUGCCUAUUAUCUGUUGAUUUGGAAUUGCUUUUCCAGACUCGUACUCUUGUAUUAUCUGGGGCUUCUCAUU